rnacentral:rRNA from 1 species
GGAAUAUUGCACAAUGGGCGAAAGCCUGAUGCAGCGACGCCGCGUGAGGGAUGACGGCCUUCGGGUUGUAAACCUCUUUCAGCAGGGAAGAAGCGCAAGUGACGGUACCUGCAGAAGAAGCGCCGGCUAACUACGUGCCAGCAGCCGCGGUAAUACGUAGGGCGCAAGCGUUGUCCGGAAUUAUUGGGCGUAAAGAGCUCGUAGGCGGCUUGUCACGUCGGAUGUGAAAGCCCGGGGCUUAACCCCGGGUCUGCAUUCGAUACGGGCUAGCUAGAGUGUGGUAGGGGAGAUCGGAAUUCCUGGUGUAGCGGUGAAAUGCGCAGAUAUCAGGAGGAACACCGGUGGCGAAGGCGGAUCUCUGGGCCAUUACUGACGCUGAGGAGCGAAAGCGUGGGGAGCGAACAGGAUUAGAUACCCUGGUAGUCCACGCCGUAAACGUUGGGAACUAGGUGUUGGCGACAUUCCACGUCGUCGGUGCCGCAGCUAACGCAUUAAGUUCCCCGCCUGGGGGG